rnacentral:rRNA from 1 species
UACGUAGGGUGCGAGCGUUAAUCGGAAUUACUGGGCGUAAAGUGUGCGCAGGCGGCCGCGCAAGUCGAGUGUGAAAGCCCCGAGCUUAACUUGGGAAUUGCGCUCGAAACUACGUGGCUGGAGUGUGGCAGAGGAAGGUGGAAUUCCACGUGUAGCGGUGAAAUGCGCAGAUAUCAGGAGGAACACCGGUGGCGAAGGCGGUUCUCUGGGCAUGUCCUGACGCUGAGGAGCGAAAGUGUGGGGAGCGAACAGG